AUUGUACUCCCUCCGUUCGAAAUUACUUGUCGCAGAAAUGGAUGUAUCUAGAUUAUUUUAGUUCUAAAUACAUCCAUUUCCGAGACAAGUAAUUCCGAACGGAGGGAGUAGUAU
rfam:Triticum aestivum genome assembly, contig: Triticum_aestivum_CS42_TGACv1_scaffold_221035_3B